GUCCACACCGUAAACGUUGGGCGCUAGGUGUGGGACUCAUUCCACGAGUUCCGUGCCGCAGCUAACGCAUUAAGCGCCCCGCCUGGGGAGUACGGCCGCAAGGCUAAAACUCAAAGGAAUUGACGGGGGCCCCGCACAAGCGGCGGAGCAUGCGGAUUAAUUCGAUGCAACGCGAAGAACCUUACCUAGGUUUGACAUAUACGAGAAGCCUCUGGAGACAGAGGUCUCUUUGGACACUUGUAUACAGGUGGUGCAUGGCUGUCGU
rnacentral:rRNA from 1 species